GCAAGAGUCAACUUGCACUCAGGAGGAGAACCAGGAAUGAACCAUCAGGUCAACAGAAUUCAACACUGAAUAUGAAGCAAACUCAAAACUCUCUGGAUAUUCCCUGGUUUCACUUAGGCCUUCAGGCCUUAGUUCAUCCAGCAUCCACCCUGACCUACAGUAUUGAGGGAUGACUAAGGGGAGUUGUGCUCCUAAGCACUGUGGAUUGUUAACUCUCCAGGCCGGAUAACUCCUGUCAUCAGGCUGUGCUGAAUUUAUUCGCUCCCUUGUUAGGAACUAGAUCGGUGCUGAAGGCGAUCCAGAGGCACGCUGGCAAUUCAAGCCAUUCCCGGCUCUUCUCCUCCUUCCCUGGAUGCGUUCAGAAGGACA